UACGAAGGGGACUAGCGUUGUUCGGAAUUACUGGGCGUAAAGCGCACGUAGGCGGAUUUGUAAGUCAGGGGUGAAAUCCCGGGGCUCAACCUCGGAACUGCCUUUGAUACUGCAAAUCUCGAGUCCGAUAGAGGUGGGUGGAAUUCCUAGUGUAGAGGUGAAAUUCGUAGAUAUUGGGAAGAACACCGAUGGCGAAGGCAGCCAUCUGGACCGACACUGACGCUGAGGCGCGAAAGCGUGGGGAGCAAACAGG
rnacentral:rRNA from 1 species